rnacentral:rRNA from 1 species
GGCGAGUGANCGGCAACAGCUCANAUUUGAAAGCUAGCCUUCGGGUUCGCAUUGUAAUUUGUAGAGGAUGAUUUGGGGAAGCCGCCUGUCUAAGUUCCUUGGAACAGGACGUCAUAGAGGGUGAGAAUCCCGUAUGUGACAGGAAAUGGCACCCUAUGUAAAUCUCCUUCGACGAGUCGAGUUGUUUGGGAAUGCAGCUCUAAAUGGGAGGUAAAUUUCUUCUAAAGCUAAAUAUUGGCGAGAGACCGAUAGCGCACAAGUAGAGUGAUCGAAAGAUGAAAAGCACUUUGGAAAGAGAGUUAAAAAGCACGUGAAAUUGUUGAAAGGGAAGCGCUUGCAAUCAGACUUGUUUAAACUGUUCGGCCGGUCUUCUGACCGGUUUACUCAGUUUGGACAGGCCAGCAUCAGUUUCGGCGGCCGGAUAAAGGCUCUGGGAAUGUGGCCUCCACUUCGGUGGAGGUGUUAUAGCCCAGGGUGUAAUACGGCCAGCCGGGACUGAGGUCCGCGCUUCGGCUAGGAUGCUGGCGUAAUGGUUGUAAGCGACCCGUCUUGAAACCACG